UUGAUUGUGAACCCGUAAAAACAAUCGGGUGGUUCUAGUCGGUGAGCCUGUCAAAACCGACCGAGUUCGUUGUGACCUUGUGAAAACAACAAGUUGGAUUGUGAGCUUGUAAAACAACCGGCUGUAAUCCUAGGGAUUAUAGUAAACUUCCAAGUGCAGCUUGGGGAGUGGACGUAGGAGCAAGAGUUGGCUCUGAACCAU
rnacentral:lncRNA from 1 species